GCUGGGCGUGGUGGUGCACGCCUGUAAUCCCAGCUCCUCGGGAGGCUGAGGCAGGAGAAUUGCUUGAACCCAGGAGGCAGAGGUUGCAGUGUGCUGGGAUCGUACCAUUGCACUCCAGCCUGGGUGACAGAGCUAGACUCUGUCUCGA
rfam:Nomascus leucogenys chromosome 13, whole genome shotgun sequence.